CAGUCGCCACGGUAAUCCGGAGGGUGCAAGCGUUAAUCGGAAUUACUGGGCGUAAAGCGUGCGCAGGCGGUUUGUUAAGACAGAUGUGAAAUCCCCGGGCUCAACCUGGGAACUGCAUUUGUGACUGGCAAGCUAGAGUAUGGCAGAGGGGGGUGGAACUCCGCGUGUAGCAGUGAAAUGCGUAGAUAUGCGGAGGAACACCGAUGGCGAAGGCAGCCCCCUGGGCCAAUACUGACGCUCAGGUGCGAAAGCGUGGGGAGCAAACAGGAUUAGAUACCCGAGUAGUCCCUGUCUCUUAUAC
rnacentral:rRNA from 1 species